ACGAGCUAGACUACAAGGUGCA
rnacentral:miRNA from 1 species